GAUGAAGAACGUAGCGAAAUGCGAUAAGUAAUGCGAAUUGCAGAAUCCGUGAGUCAUCGAAUCUUUGAACGCACAUUGCGCCCCUUGGUUAUUCCGAAGGGCAUGCCUGUUCGAGCGUCAUUAUCACCCCUCAAGCCCCUGGCUUGGUGUUGGACUUUAGUUGUGGCUUUGCCUAUCAACUAGUCUCAAAGAUAGUGACGGCGCCCCAGAGGGAACCCGGGUACGAGGAGCUUUUUACUAAGCAUGUAUCUGGGACGACUCUGAUGGGCGACGGUCUUGUUAUACUUUUACCUAAGUGUUGACCUCGGAUCAGGUAGGAAUACCCGCUGAACUUAAGCAUAUCAAUAAGCGGAGGA
rnacentral:misc_RNA from 1 species